UUAACAGAAACCAAAAUUAGAGGUAAUUUAUUGUUAAUAAAUCUAUUGAACUUAACUUAAUUCCUGUUAAU
rnacentral:tRNA from 1 species